rnacentral:lncRNA from 1 species
UUUCUUUCUCUUUCUCCCUCCACCAAAUAUCUCUCUCACCGUCGCCGGAAAGAAGCGGAGAGUGAGAGAGAAUCGCUCGCAAUCGCGUAGAGACAUGAAAAACAAAAAACAAUGUCCAUUGAAUUUGAGUUUUGGCUUUUUGAGUUUAUGAGUUUCUAAUUGAUUAUUUUUUUAUCGCAAAACAGAUCGUCACGAGAGAAGAGGCAAUGGAUGAUGGAUUGAAAAGCUGCUCUUUCUCUUUCUGAACACCAAAUUUAUUUUGAAUUUUGAUCAUCCUAUAACCACUUUUUUUUUUUGAAUUGGUAAAGUGAUUCUGUUUUCAUGUUGUUUUAUAGUGAUUGUGAUUCUGUUUGUGUUUAUGUUUUCAGCUACAAAAUCUGGAGAGUUUAAUUGAACAAAUUAGGGUACUAAAGGGAGAGAUCGAUGAGCAGAUCGAUGAGAAGAUUAAGCUAACUGUUGAACUUGAUAUGCUGUUUUUAAUGUUCACCCGUAGUGAGGUACGUUAAUUAUUCAUACUCCAUUGAUUUCUCUGUUUCUGUUGAUUGAAUCUUAUGUAUAUGAUUUGUUCAUGCUUAAUUGUGUUUUUUUAUCUAGGAUGAGUUUUCUUUUCAC